GCUACCAUGCAGUCGAACGAUGAUUAUCUAGCUUGCUCCACAUGAUUAGUGGCGGACGGGUGAGUAACAUUUAGGAAUCUGCCUAUUAAUGGGGGAUAGCUCGGGGAAACUCGAAUUAAUACCGCAUACGACCUACGGGUGAAAGGGGGCGCAGGCUCUUGCUAUUACAUGAGCCUAACUCAUAUUAGCUAGUUGGUGGGGUAAAGGCCCACCGAGGCGACGAUCUGUAACUGGUCUGACAGGAUGAUCAGUCGCACCGGAACUGAGACACGGUCCGGACUCCUACAGUAGGCAGCAAUGGGGAAUAUUGGACAAUGGGGGCAACCCUGAUCCACCCAUGCCGCGUGUGUGAAGAAGGCCUUUUGGUUGUAAAGCACUUUACCCCUGUAGGAGAGGCUAAUGGUUAAUACCCAUUACAUUAGACGUUACCUGCAGAAUAAUCACCGGCUAACUCUGUGCCAGCAGCCGCGGUAAUACAGAGGGUGCGAGCGUUAAUCGGAAUUACUGGGCGUAAAGCGAGUGUAGGUGGCUCAUUAAGUCACAUGUGAAAUCCCCGGGCUUAACCUGGGAACUGCAUGUGAUACUGGUGGUGCUAAAAUAUGUGAUAGGGAAGUAGAAUUCCAGGUGUAGCGGUGAAAUGCGUACAGAUCUGGAGGAAUACCGAUGGCGAAGGCAGCUUCCUGGCAUAAUAUUGACACUGAGAUUCCAAAGCGUGUGUAGCACACAGGAUUACAUACCCUGGUAGUCCACGCCGUAAACGAUGUCUACUAUCCGUUGGGGUCCUUGAGACUUUAAUGCCGCAGUUAACCCGAUAGGUAAACCGCCUGGCGAGUACGGCCGCAAGGUUAAAACUCAAAUGACUUGACGGGGGCCCGCACAAGCGGUGGAGCUUGUGGUUUAAUUCAAUGCUUCGCGAAGAACCUUACCUGGUCUUGACAUAGUGAGAAUCCUGCAGAGAUGCGGGAGUGCCUUCGGGAAUUCACAUACAGGUGCUGCAUGGUUGUCGUCAGCUCUUGUCGUGAGAUGUUGGGAUAAGUCCCGCAACGAGCGCAAUCCUUUUCCUUAUUUGCCAGCGGGUUAAGCCGGGAACUUUAAGGAUACUGCCAUUGACUAACUGGAGGAAGGCGGGGAGGACGUCAAGUCAUCAUGGCCCUUUCGACCAGGGCUACCCACGUGCUACAAUGGUAGGUACAGAGGGUUGUUACACAGGGAUGUGAUGAUAAUAUCAAAAAGCUUAUAGUAGUCCGGAUUGGANUCNGCAACUCGACUCCAAGAAGUAGGAAUCGNUAGUAAUCGCAGAUCAGAAUGCUGCGGAGAAUACGUUCCCGGGCCUUGUACACACCGCCCGUCACCCCAUGGGAGUNUACGCACCAGAAGUAGGUAGCUUAACGCAAGAG
rnacentral:rRNA from 1 species